UAGAGUUUGAUCCUGGCUCAGGAUGAACGCUGGCGGCGUGCCUAAGACAUGCAAGUCGAGUGGGUUUAGACCCACGGCGAACGGGUGAGUAAUACCUAGGAAUGUCCCUCUAGUGGAGCAUAACCAGCCGAAAGGUUGGAUAAUUCUCCAUGUGAUCGCAAGAUUAAAGCAGCAAUGCGCUAGAGGCGCAGCCUGGGCACCAUCAGCUAGUUGGUAGGGUAAAGGCCUACCAAGGCUAUGACGGUUAGGGGCCCCGAGAGGGGAGUCCCCCACACUGGAACUGCGACACGGUCCAGACUCCUACGGGAGGCAGCAGUAAGGGAUAUUGCGACAAUGGGCGAAAGCCUGACGCAGCAACGCCGCGUGGAGGAUGACGGCCUUCGGGUUGUAAACUCCUUUUACCGGGGAAGAGGAAGGACGGUACCCGGUGAAGAAGUCUCGGCUAACUACGUGCCAGCAGCCCCGGUCAA
rnacentral:rRNA from 1 species